rnacentral:rRNA from 1 species
AUUGGACGCUGGCGGCAUGCCUUACACAUGCAAGUCGAACGGUAACGGGUCCUUCGGGAUGCCGACGAGUGGCGAACGGGUGAGUAAUAUAUCGGAACGUGCCCAGUAGUGGGGGAUAACUGCUCGAAAGAGCAGCUAAUACCGCAUACGACCUGAGGGUGAAAGGGGGGGAUCGCAAGACCUCUCGCUAUUGGAGCGGCCGCUAUCAGAUUAGCUAGUUGGUGGGGUAAAGGCCUACCAAGGCAACGAUCUGUAGUUGGUCUGAGAGGAGGACCAGCCAGACUGAGAGUGAGAACCGGCCCAGACUACUACAGGAGGCAGCAGUGGGGAAUUUUGGACAAGGGGCGCAAGCCUGAUCCAGCAAUGCGGCGUGCAGGAAGAAGGCCUUCGGGUUGUAAACUGCUUUUGUCAGGGAAGAAAUCUUCUGGGCUAAUACCCCGGGAGGAUGACGGUACCUGAAGAAUAAGCACCGGCUAACUACGUGCCAGCCGCCGCAGUAACAC